AGAGUUUGAUCAUGGCUCAGGAUGAACGCUAGCGGCAGGCCUAAUACAUGCAAGUCGAACGGAUGUAGUAAUACAUUAGUGGCGCACGGGUGCGUAACGCGUAUGCAACCUACCUGUUAGAGGGGGAUAGCCCGGGGAAACCCGGAUUAAUACCGCAUAAGAUCAAGAAGUGGCAUCACUUUUUGAUGAAACAUUCUAUGGCUAACAGAUGGGCAUGCGUAAGAUUAGCUAGUUGGUGAGGUAGCAGCUCACCAAGGCAAUGAUCUUUAGGGGUUCUGAGAGGAAGAUCCCCCACACUGGUACUGAGACAGGGACCAGACUCCUACGGGAGGCAGCAGUAGGGAAUAUUGGGCAAUGGUGGCAACACUGACCCAGCCAUGCCGCGUGCAGGAAGAAGGCCUUCUGGGUUGUAAACUGCUUUUGGAAGGGAACAAAACGACACUGCGGUGUAACUUGAGUGUACCUUCAGAAUAAGCACCGGCUAACUCCGUGCCAGCAGCCGCGGUAAUACGGAGGGUGCAAGCGUUGUCCGGAUUUAUUGGGUUUAAAGGGUGCGUAGGCGGCCUAUUAAGUCAGGGGUGAAAGACUGCAGCUCAACUGUAGCAGUGCCUUUGAUACUGAUGGGCUUGAGUCUAGAUGAGGCCGGCGGAAUGGGUGGUGUAGCGGUGAAAUGCAUAGAUACCAUCCAGAACACCGAUUGCGAAGGCAGCCGGCUAAACUACAACUGACGCUCAGGCACGAAAGCGUGGGGAUCGAACAGGAUUAGAUACCCCAGUAGUCC
rnacentral:rRNA from 1 species